GAUGAACGCUGGCGGCGUGCUUAACACAUGCAAGUCGAACGGAAAGGCCCUGCUUUUGUGGGGUGCUCGAGUGGCGAACGGGUGAGUAACACGUGAGUAACCUGCCCUUGACUUUGGGAUAACUUCAGGAAACUGGGGCUAAUACCGGAUAGGAGCUCCUGCUGCAUGGUGGGGGUUGGAAAGUUUCGGCGGUUGGGGAUGGACUCGCGGCUUAUCAGCUUGUUGGUGGGGUAGUGGCUGACCCAGGCUUUGACGGGUAGCCGGCAUGGGAGGGUGACCGGGCACAUGGGGACUGAGAGACGGCGCAGACGCCAACGGGGGGCAGCAGGGGGGAGUAUUACACAAUGAGCGGAAGCCUGAUGCAGCAACGCCGCGUGCGGGAUGACGGCUUUCGGGGUGUGAACCGCUGUCGCCUGUGACGAAGCGUGAGUGACGGUAAUGGGUAAAGAAGCACCGGCUAACUACGUG
rnacentral:rRNA from 1 species